GCAUCCAGUUGCCAUCGGGCGAGCCGGGCACUCUGGAGGGACUGCCGGCGACAAGCCGGAGGAAGUGGGGAUGACGUCAAGUCAUCAUGGCCCUUAUGUCCAGGGCGACACACGUGCUACAAUGGCCGGCACAGCGGGAAGCGGAGGGGCGACCCUGAGCGGAUCCCUUGAAAGCCGGUCCCAGUUCGGAUUGCAGUCUGCAACUCGACUGCAUGAAGUUGGAAUCGCUAGUAAUCGCGGAUCAGCCAAGCCGCGGUGAAUACGUUCCCGGGCCUU
rnacentral:rRNA from 1 species